CAAAUUAGAUCUUGUGACUAAGUAUUUCAUUUACAUUGAGAAGAAAUUAUAUAUAAUUAAUUAAUUUGA
rnacentral:tRNA from 1 species